rnacentral:rRNA from 1 species
GAAACUAAAUAGGAUUCCCACAGUAAUGGCGAAUGAACGUGGAGGAGCUCAGCGUGAGAAUUGUGGCCUUCGGCCUUGAAUUGUAAUCUGAAGAUGUGUUGGCCAACGGAGUCGCAGGCGCAAGCCUCUUGGAAAAGAGCACCGUUGAGGGUGAAGGUCCCGUUCGUCCCUUGCACGCUACCGUGUACGGCGCACAUUCAAAGAGUCACGUUCCUUGGGAUUGGAGCGCAAAUUGGGUGGUAAAUUUCAUCUAAAGCUAAAUAUGGACUCGAAACCGAUAGCAAACAAGUACCAUGAGGGAAAGAUGAAAAGGACUUUGAAAAGAGAGUUAAAAGUGCCUGAACUCGCUGUAGGGAAAGCGGAUGGAACCAGCUUUGCUUGGCAAGAUUGUUGUCGACCCGUCUCGUGUGCGAGGGGGAGCGUUGAAUGCCAGGUCGUGACCCGAAUGUUAGACGUGGGUCGCGAUGUUUCUUGCCUUGUGUGUCACAAACGGUUUGCGAUUGAAGACGACCUCUCGGGACAUGGAAGCUCGCCCCUGGGUGUGCGAACGUACCGUGCUUUUCCUUCUUUUAGACCGACCGCUGGCCCAGCCGUGGGCGGAAGUCAGCGCACGCUGUGCUCAAAUGGCGUGCGCGCGUGUUCUCGUCACGAGGACUGCUAGCUUCCGCUCCGACCCUCGGUGCUUUAGCUUUUGUGACUAAUGGUUCUCUUCGACCCGUCUUGAAACACGGACCAAGGAGU